AAAGUGGUUUAUGAUGCUCAACUUUUUUCCCCGUCUUAUCGACUAUGGUGAACAUUGAUUGAAACAAAGCCAAUUUUGUCUGAAACUGCUUU